UACGUAGGGGGCAAGCGUUGUCCGGAUUUAUUGGGCGUAAAGAGCGUGUAGGCGGCUAGAUAGGUCCGUUGUGAAAACUCGAGGCUCAACCUCGAGACGUCGAUGGAAACCAUCUGGCUAGAGUCCGGAAGAGGAGAGUGGAAUUCCUGGUGUAGCGGUGAAAUGCGCAGAUAUCGGGAAGAACACCCGUGGCGAAGGCGGCUUUCUGGGACGGUACUGACGCUGAGACGCGAAAGCGUGGGGAGCGAACAGG
rnacentral:rRNA from 1 species